CUAGUAUUUUCAACAUCAACGCCAACACCAACAGACAAUAAACAAAUUAUGUUCAUAUCAGCUUAGUACCUGAUGGGGGUCUUAUUGGGCUCGUGAUAUCAAUGCUAUUUUUGCCACCAGACGGUGCGUCUCUAGCUCUCUUCGGCACCGUCACGUGUCGUCCUGGUAUUGCACUCUCCUCCAGGCUCGGACCGCUUUUG